CCCCAGCCACAGGUUGCCAACAAAACUCUUUCUCUGCAACUUCCUGUCAAGUGGCCCGAACUCAAAGUUCAUGACAAGGUUCUGGGUAAGAAGUUUAAUGAUGUCUGGUACAGUGGUACUAUAUUAGACAUCUAUCCUGCGUCUGUAAAUACUGAGUGGUCCUGUAAAGUCAAAUUUGAUGGUAAAGGGUUGAAGGUAUUGCCUGGUAAACAUGUGGCAUACAGGGACUCCAUUGCCUACUUCAUCAAGGUUGGCACUAGAG
rnacentral:sRNA from 1 species